rnacentral:rRNA from 1 species
UGUGGCAUGACCGUCCUCGACGACUUGCCUGAGUCGGUCAUCAUCCAAGAGAUACUCGUUAGGUUACCGGUAGAGGACAUCCUCAGGUGUCGUGUUGUCCGCAAGUCGUGGCGUCAUGCCACAACCACCAAGGAGUUCCUCCUCGCGCACCACCACCACCAACCGUCACUCCCAGUCAUUGACCUUAUCAAGAGUGAUGGCCAUGUGUUUGACCAUCAUCUCUCUGUAUUUUUUCACAAUAGUCCUGGUGCCGCAAGUCGCAAGCUCAAUUAUCGGAUCAUACUCCGUUCUCGCAACACCCGUCCCUACGAGGACAACCUAGUGAUCCAUGCUGUAUGUGAUGGGCUCCUUAUAAUCUCCUUCCAUGAUCGUGAGGGACUUUUUGAAAUUUGCAAUGCAAGUACUCACCAACGUGCUCCUCUACCACUGCUCCGUGAACAAGACCUACAAGGUAGAAGGGUUCGCAUUGCCGGAUUAUACCAACAUCGCCCAUCUGGAGGAUAUCAGGUGCUUUACUCAAUCUGGACAAGGAACGUGGAUCUUUUCACUUUCACAGUUGCGUUCUACAUCAUUGCAGUGGGAGCUAACGAACCGAGGCCUAUCGAACAACCGCCAUUGCAACAAGUAUUAAUGGGUGGACUCACAUGUUCUGACAAUACAUCGGUCCUCUACCGUGACAACCUUCAUUGGUUAUUACGACGGCAAUAUAUUAGCAAUGGACCCAGCAACAUAAUGAUAUUCAACACUGCGGCUGAGACAUUUCGGUGGUUGUCCCAUCCUCCCCGACAGUACCCUUGGAUGUCACUGUUGGAGUUGGAAGGAGCGCUUUCUAUGUGCAGUAGUCAUGACGGAAUCAUUAUAGAUAUCUAUGUUAUGCAUGACUACGAAGAUGAGGUAUGGACCCUCAUUUACAGUAUUAACAUGAUGGCAUUGGAGGGAUUGCCGCCACUCAAUUUAAGGGCGAGAACUGUACGGAAGAUUGCUGCACUUAAUGAGUGUGAGAUGCUGAUCGAGUUUCCAGGAUGUGUUCUGCACUGUGACACUGGUGGUAAGUUUCUUGGAAAGAUGGAGUGGAAUGAAGACGAAGACAACCACAUGCAUAUUACUCCAUUUCACUUUCAGGAGAACAUUUGUCAACUUCCU